rnacentral:rRNA from 1 species
UACGUAGGGGGCAAGCGUUGUCCGGAAUUAUUGGGCGUAAAGAGCGCGUAGGCGGUCCGAUAAGUCGGCUGUGAAAGUCAGGGGCUCAACCCUUGGAAGCCGGCCGAUACUGUCGGACUAGAGUCCGGAAGAGGCGAGUGGAAUUCCCGGUGUAGCGGUGAAAUGCGCAGAUAUCGGGAGGAACACCAAUGGCGAAGGCAGCUCGCUGGGACGUAACUGACGCUGAGACGCGAAAGCGUGGGGAGCAAACAGG